UUAAGCGACUAAGCGUACACGGUGGAUGCCCUGGCAGUCAGAGGCGAUGAAGGACGUGCUAAUCUGCGAUAAGCGUCGGUAAGGUGAUAUGAACCGUUAUAACCGGCGAUUUCCGAAUGGGGAAACCCAGUGUGUUUCGACACACUAUCAUUAACUGAAUCCAUAGGUUAAUGAGGCGAACCGGGGGAACUGAAACAUCUAAGUACCCCGAGGAAAAGAAAUCAACCGAGAUUCCCCCAGUAGCGGCGAGCGAACGGGGAGGAGCCCAGAGCCUGAAUCAGUGUGUGUGUUAGUGGAAGCGUCUGGAAAGGCGUGCGAUACAGGGUGACAGCCCCGUACACAAAAAUGCACAUAUUGUGAGCUCGAUGAGUAGGGCGGGACACGUGGUAUCCUGUCUGAAUAUGGGGGGACCAUCCUCCAAGGCUAAAUACUCCUGACUGACCGAUAGUGAACCAGUACCGUGAGGGAAAGGCGAAAAGAACCCCGGCGAGGGGAGUGAAAAAGAACCUGAAACCGUGUACGUACAAGCAGUGGGAGCCUCUUAAUGGGGUGACUGCGUACCUUUUGUAUAAUGGGUCAGCGACUUAUAUUCUGUAGCAAGGUUAACCGAAUAGGGGAGCCGAAGGGAAACCGAGUCUUAACUGGGCGUUAAGUUGCAGGGUAUAGACCCGAAACCCGGUGAUCUAGCCAUGGGCAGGUUGAAGGUUGGGUAACACUAACUGGAGGACCGAACCGACUAAUGUUGAAAAAUUAGCGGAUGACUUGUGGCUGGGGGUGAAAGGCCAAUCAAACCGGGAGAUAGCUGGUUCUCCCCGAAAGCUAUUUAGGUAGCGCCUCGUGAAUUCAUCUCCGGGGGUAGAGCACUGUUUCGGCAAGGGGGUCAUCCCGACUUACCAACCCGAUGCAAACUGCGAAUACCGGAGAAUGUUAUCACGGGAGACACACGGCGGGUGCUAACGUCCGUCGUGAAUAGGGAAACAACCCAGACCGCCAGCUAAGGUCCCAAAGUCAUGGUUAAGUGGGAAACGAUGUGGGAAGGCCCAGACAGCCAGGAUGUUGGCUUAGAAGCAGCCAUCAUUUAAAGAAAGCGUAAUAGCUCACUGGUCGAGUCGGCCUGCGCGGAAGAUGUAACGGGGCUAAACCAUGCACCGAAGCUGCGGCAGCGACACUAUGUGUUGUUGGGUAGGGGAGCGUUCUGUAAGCCUGUGAAGGUGGCCUGUGAGGGUUGCUGGAGGUAUCAGAAGUGCGAAUGCUGACAUAAGUAACGAUAAAGCGGGUGAAAAGCCCGCUCGCCGGAAGACCAAGGGUUCCUGUCCAACGUUAAUCGGGGCAGGGUGAGUCGACCCCUAAGGCGAGGCCGAAAGGCGUAGUCGAUGGGAAACAGGUUAAUAUUCCUGUACUUGGUGUUACUGCGAAGGGGGGACGGAGAAGGCUAUGUUGGCCGGGCGACGGUUGUCCCGGUUUAAGCGUGUAGGCUGGUUUUCCAGGCAAAUCCGGAAAACCAAGGCUGAGGCGUGAUGACGAGGCACUACGGUGCUGAAGCGACAAAUGCCCUGCUUCCAGGAAAAGCCUCUAAGCAUCAGGUAACAUCAAAUCGUACCCCAAACCGACACAGGUGGUCAGGUAGAGAAUACCAAGGCGCUUGAGAGAACUCGGGUGAAGGAACUAGGCAAAAUGGUGCCGUAACUUCGGGAGAAGGCACGCUGAUAUGUAGGUGAAGCGACUUGCUCGUGGAGCUGAAAUCAGUCGAAGAUACCAGCUGGCUGCAACUGUUUAUUAAAAACACAGCACUGUGCAAACACGAAAGUGGACGUAUACGGUGUGACGCCUGCCCGGUGCCGGAAGGUUAAUUGAUGGGGUUAGCGGCAACGCGAAGCUCUUGAUCGAAGCCCCGGUAAACGGCGGCCGUAACUAUAACGGUCCUAAGGUAGCGAAAUUCCUUGUCGGGUAAGUUCCGACCUGCACGAAUGGCGUAAUGAUGGCCAGGCUGUCUCCACCCGAGACUCAGUGAAAUUGAACUCGCUGUGAAGAUGCAGUGUACCCGCGGCAAGACGGAAAGACCCCGUGAACCUUUACUAUAGCUUGACACUGAACAUUGAGCCUUGAUGUGUAGGAUAGGUGGGAGGCUUUGAAGUGUGGACGCCAGUCUGCAUGGAGCCGACCUUGAAAUACCACCCUUUAAUGUUUGAUGUUCUAACGUUGGCCCGUAAUCCGGGUUGCGGACAGUGUCUGGUGGGUAGUUUGACUGGGGCGGUCUCCUCCUAAAGAGUAACGGAGGAGCACGAAGGUUGGCUAAUCCUGGUCGGACAUCAGGAGGUUAGUGCAAUGGCAUAAGCCAGCUUGACUGCGAGCGUGACGGCGCGAGCAGGUGCGAAAGCAGGUCAUAGUGAUCCGGUGGUUCUGAAUGGAAGGGCCAUCGCUCAACGGAUAAAAGGUACUCCGGGGAUAACAGGCUGAUACCGCCCAAGAGUUCAUAUCGACGGCGGUGUUUGGCACCUCGAUGUCGGCUCAUCACAUCCUGGGGCUGAAGUAGGUCCCAAGGGUAUGGCUGUUCGCCAUUUAAAGUGGUACGCGAGCUGGGUUUAGAACGUCGUGAGACAGUUCGGUCCCUAUCUGCCGUGGGCGCUGGAGAACUGAGGGGGGCUGCUCCUAGUACGAGAGGACCGGAGUGGACGCAUCACUGGUGUUCGGGUUGUCAUGCCAAUGGCACUGCCCGGUAGCUAAAUGCGGAAGAGAUAAGUGCUGAAAGCAUCUAAGCACGAAACUUGCCCCGAGAUGAGUUCUCCCUGAGACUUAGAGUCUCCUGAAGGAACGUUGAAGACGACGACGUUGAUAGGCCGGGUGUGUAAGCGCAGCGAUGCGUUGAGCUAACCGGUACUAAUGAACCGUGAGGCUUAACCUU
rnacentral:rRNA from 2 species